GCCAAAUUUCUAGCCUCACAAAUCUUCAUAACACUUAUUAACUCACUGCCCUAUUUUAAAACAUUUUAUUAAUUAAGUAAAGGCGAUAAAAAAAUUUCUUAGAGCAAUAUAAAUAGUACCGCAAGGGAAUGAUGAAAUAAAAAUGAAAUAAUUCUCAAGCACAAAAAAGUAAAGAUUUUCCCUUGUACCUUUUGCAUCAUGGUUUAACUAGUCCUUUUAGGCAAAAAGAAUUUUAGUCUAAUCUCCCGAACCUGGGCGAGCUACCCUAAGACAGCUUUUAGAGCCAACCCAUCUCUGUUGCAGAAGAGUGGGAAGAUCCUAUGGUAGCGGUGACAGACCAAACGAGCCCAGUGAUAGCUGGUUGCUUUUUAAAAGGAUUUUAGUCCAACUUAAAGUUAUACACUUACCCUAAAAACAACUUUAAUGUAAUUCAAAUAAGGUUCAGCCUGUUUGAAAAAGGAUACAACCUCCACCACCGGGUUACCCAGCACUACAAUAAUAAAGUAGGCUUAAAAGCAGCCAUCUCAAAAAAGCGUCAUAGCUUAACCAAUUUUUAGUACAAUCUCUAAACCCCCUUUUAACCCUUCACCCCUAAAAAGCAAUUCUAUAUAUUUAUCGAAAAUUUUAUGUUAAAACGAGUAACAAGAAGCAGCCCUUCUCUUAAAUGUACCUGUACAUCAACACGGACCACCCAUUGAUAACUAGCGUCUAUAAAUCAAUAGUAGUCCUCCCCUUCAAACCCCCUACUAUUAUUAACGUUAACCUAACACAAGAACAUUAAAAGAAAGAUUAAAAGAUAAAGAAGGAACUCGGCAAACAUAAGCUUCGCCUGUUUACCAAAAACAUCGCCUCCUGACUAACCAUAAGAGGUCAAGCCUGCCCAGUGACAUUGUUCAACGGCCGCGGUAUCCUAACCGUGCGAAGGUAGCGUAAUCACUUGUUCUUUAAAUGAGGACUAGUAUGAACGGCUUCACGAGAGCUUUACUGUCUCCUUUAUCCAAUCAGUUAAACUAAUCUCCCCGUGAAGAAGCGGGGAUCAACCUAUAAGACGAGAAGACCCUAUGGAGCUUCAAACACUUUUAAACACUUGACACUUCACACUUUUGCCUCCAGAAACCUUAACCGAGCCAAUCGAUCUGUUUUAAGUUUUGGGUUGGGGUGACCACGGAGAACAAUCUAACCUCCACGUAGAAAGAAACUCACUUUCUAAGCAAUAAGCUACACCUUUAUGCAUCAAUAUAUUGACCUAAAUUGACCCAAUUAUUUGAUCAACGAACCAAGUUACCCUAGGGAUAACAGCGCAAUCCGCUUUAAGAGUUCCUAUCGACAAGCGGGCUUACGACCUCGAUGUUGGAUCAGGGAAUCCCAGUGGUGCAGCAGCUACUAACGGUUCGUUUGUUCAACGAUUAAAACCCUACGUGAUCUGAGUUCAGACCGGAGCAAUCCAGGUCAGUUUCUAUCUAUAAAGAGUUUUUUCUAGUACGAAAGGACCGAAAAAACAUGGCCAAUGCUCUUAACAUCAAGCCAUCUUCAUCAAAUUUAUGUUUCAAACUUAAUAAUUAAGCACCCUAAAACAAACUUUAAGAUCAAAACCUUAA
rnacentral:rRNA from 1 species